rnacentral:rRNA from 1 species
AACGAACGCUGGCGGCAGGCUUAACACAUGCAAGUCGAACGCCCCGCAAGGGGAGUGGCAGACGGGUGAGUAACGCGUGGGAACGUACCCUUUACUACGGAAUAGCUCCGGGAAACUGGAAUUAAUACCGUAUGUGCCCUUCGGGGGAAAGAUUUAUCGGUAAAGGAUCGGCCCGCGUUGGAUUAGCUAGUUGGUGGGGUAAAGGCCUACAAAGGCGACGAUCAAUAGCUGGUCUGAGAGGAUGAUCAGCCACAUUGGGACUGAGACACGGCCCAAACUCCUACGGGGGGGAGCAGUGGGGAAUAUUGGACAAUGGGCGCAAGACUGAUCAAGCCAUGCCGCGUGAGUGAUGAAGGUCUUAGGAUUGUAAAGCUCUUUCACCGGGGAAGAUAAUGACGGUACCCGGAGAAGAAGCCCCGGCUAACUUCGUGCCAGCCGCCGCCGUAACAC